GGCUGAAAUUCGCCUUCAUGAAGCUGGAAUUGCUAGUAAUGGCAGGUCAGCAUACUGCCGUGAAUACGUUCCCGGGCCUUGUACACACCGCCCGUCACACCAUGAGAGUUGGAAAUACCCGAAGCCUGUGAGCUAACUUAAAGAGGCAGCAGUCGAAGGUAGAAUCAAUGAUUGGGGUGAAGUCGUAACAAGGUACC
rnacentral:rRNA from 1 species